AUCACUUCUCAGCCUUUUGGCAAAGAUCAAGUACAGAAUAUUUUCUUGUCAGUUUAGUAUAUGACGCAUCCUCUAUUCGAUGAUGAUAUAUUCAAUGCAUUUUCAGAGCAGGGAGAUAUGAGAGCUUGCUUCAUUUGCUGCACGCAUUGACCUCGUAUUGCACUACCUUCAGGAACAGUGCACCCCCU
ensembl:snRNA U2 U2 spliceosomal RNA